rnacentral:rRNA from 1 species
AGAGUUUGAUCCUGGCUCAGGACGAACGCUGGCGGCGUGCUUAACACAUGCAAGUCACGGGGGCCCGCAAGGGUAACCGGCGAACGGGUGCGUAACACGUGAGCAAUCUGCCGUCCACUGGGGGAUAGCCGGCCCAACGGCCGGGUAAUACCGCAUACGCUUGUCGGGUGGCAUCGCCUGACAAGGAAACCUCCGGGGGUGGACGAGGAGCUCGCGGCCUAUCAGCUAGUUGGUGGGGUAACGGCCUACCAAGGCAUUGACGGGUAGCUGGUCUGAGAGGAUGGCCAGCCACAUUGGGACUGAGAUACGGCCCAGACUCCUACGGGAGGCAGCAGUGGGGAAUAUUGCGCAAUGGCCGCAAGGCUGACGCAGCGACGCCGCGUGGGGGAUGAAGCAUUUCGGUGUGUAAACCCCUGUUGCUCGGGACGAACCUCCCUUUUCGAGGGGACUGACGGUACCGGGUGAGGAAGCACCGGCUAACUCCGUGCCAGCAGCCGCGGUAAUACGGAGGGUGCGAGCGUUGUCCGGAAUCACUGGGCGUAAAGGGCGCGUAGGCGGUCUGCUAAGCGUGUGGUGAAAGC